rnacentral:rRNA from 1 species
CCUACGGGAGGCAGCAGUAGGGAAUUUUCGGCAAUGGGGGGAACCCUGACCGAGCAACGCCGCGUGAACGAAGAAGUUAUUCUUAAUGUAAAGUUCUUUUAACAGGGAAGUAAGAGAAAUUUGACGGUACCUGAAGAAUAAGCUCCGGCAAACUCCGUGACAGCAGCCGCGGUAAAACGUAGGGAGCGAGCGUUAUAGGGAAUUAUUGGGCGUAAAGGGUGCGUAAAUGGCAUAGUAAGUCUUUGGUAAAAGUGCUGGGCUCAACCCAGUAGUGCAAAAGAUACUGCAAAGCUAGAGUAUGACAGAGGCAAGUGGAACUACAUGUGUAGCGGUAAAAUGCGUAAAUAU